rnacentral:rRNA from 1 species
UCCUACGGGGGGCUGCAGUGGGGAAUCUUGCGCAAUGGGGGGAACCCUGACGCAGCGACGCCGCGUGCGGGACGGAGGCCUUCGGGUCGUAAACCGCUUUCAGCAGGGAAGAGUCAAGACUGUACCUGCAGAAGAAGCCCCGGCUAACUACGUGCCAGCAGCCGCGGUAAUACGUAGGGGGCGAGCGUUAUCCGGAUUCAUUGGGCGUAAAGCGCGCGUAGGCGGCCCGGCAGGCCGGGGGUCGAAGCGGGGGGCUCAACCCCCCGAGGCCCCCGGAACCUCCGCGGCUUGGGUCCGGUAGGGGAGGGUGGAACACCCGGUGUAGCGGUGGAAUGCGCAGAUAUCGGGUGGAACACCGGUGGCGAAGGCGGCCCUCUGGGCCGAGACCGACGCUGAGGCGCGAAAGCUGGGGGAGCGAACAGGAUUAGAUACCCGAGUAGUC